AUUGAACGCUGGCGGCAUGCCUUACACAUGCAAGUCGAACGGUAACAGGUCUUCGGAUGCUGACGAGUGGCGAACGGGUGAGUAAUACAUCGGAACGUGCCUAGUAGUGGGGGAUAACUACUGGAAAGAGUGGCUAAUACCGCAUGAGAUCUACGGAUGAAAGCAGGGGAUCGCAAGAACUUGUGCUACUAGAGCGGCCGAUGGCAGAUUAGGUAGUUGGUGGGAUAAAAGCUUACCAAGCCGACGAUCUGUAGCUGGUCUGAGAGGACGAUCAGCCACACUGGGACUGAGACACGGCCCAGACUCCUACGGGAGGCAGCAGUGGGGAAUUUUGGACAAUGGGCGAAAGCCUGAUCCAGCAAUGCCGCGUGCAGGAUGAAGGCCUUCGGGUUGUAAACUGCUUUUGUACGGAACGAAAAGCCCCGGGUUAAUACCCUGGGGUCAUGACGGUACCGUAGGAAUAAGCACCGGCUAACUACGUGCCAGCCGCCGCAGUAA
rnacentral:rRNA from 1 species